ACUUGGCCAAGUGACUGAGCUAAGUUAUAAAUGCUAAGGUUUCGGAGAGAAGGAUUCACUGUGAAUUGGAGUGGUUUGGGAAGGCUCCAUGAAAAGAGAAGAGAACACUCUGGACUAUGAAAGAAGGGCAAGAUUUGGAAAGAGAGAGGAAGGACUUGCAGCCUAGGGAAGCGGGUCCAUGCAGGAAUGUGCAAGAAACAAGCAUUUCUAUUUUCUUCUGUUUCCUGAUCCCUUUCUUCUGCUGUUGGACUGUUGGAGAGGAGGGCCUGGCAUCUCACACCCAGAACAAAAGGGCUUCCCUGCUCAACCCAAGAAAAAAAAGUCUGUUGAGCUUCACCAAACAUAAGAAUCACCCCCAAAGGCACCACAUCCCCAGUUUCCUGUGGCCACUGCUGAAAGAUUCUCAGAAGAAACUCCUGGUCGAAAGAAACCACAGUAAGCCUAUAGGAAAACCAAAAAUAUGCCAACAUGAACAGAAUUCCUCAUUUUCAAAAAAUUAUAGAACUCUUCCAUAGAUUCCAAACUUUUGACUUCUGUAUCAAAGACAUCAAUGUAUGACUGAAAAAUGAAUUGGGCUGGAAAGGGAAUGAAAAUGAAGGAGAAAGAGGGGCAGUCUGAGGGCUCCAUGGGUACAAACCAAAUGUUAAAAGAGCAACAAGAUUCUAACAUGUUGAAUAGAUCAUCUCUGGAGAUUUUGGGGAAGAUAUGGACAAGAAAAGAAGAGGAUGAGAAGUCUGGAAAUCAAAAGCAACACAGAUGAAUGAAUCAAUGAAUGCACAGAUUUACUGAAGUAUGCAAAAAAUGUAACAAACAGAAUACACUGUAGGUUUUUUCCCCCUAACAAAUGUAUCAUUUAACUCAGAAUUCACAUGUUAGCAUAGAUAAAUAUAUCUUAUGCCCAUAAAUAAAGAAGUUUCAGGAAUGUUUUAGAGGUACAACCCUAUUACACAAAUUUUGUAUUUAUUUUCCCUUUAAAAUACUUUCUCUCCAAGUCCACCUAUUUCACAAAAGACUAGAGUCUUAAUUAGUAUGUAUUGUUCACACAUGGGUGUUUAAUAAAUAGUUGGUUAUAAUUUAAAUUAUGUUCCUUAUCUCUACUUCUGGGCCAUCUUCAAAUUGCUAUCUAGAAGCUACUCAAGACAAAAACUGUCUUAUAUUAAAAGAUCUCUUCCUACCACAUAAUUCAAAUUACAUUUAUGGUCCAUGGUUAUUAUGCUAAUAUAAAUGGAAUUCCAUUUACAUUUCUGGCUGGUCACUGCAUUCUUGCACCCAAUCUCUGAGACACAAAAGUCAACAGAUAAGAUUCUCCUUUUUGUCUUAUUUUAAGUAAAUAAAAUACAAAAAACAAGACAAGUAGAUCCAUUGUUAACUCUUUUGCUAAUGAAAGGUCAUACUGGUUUGCAGAUGCUUUAUUACUGCUCAGAGAUAGAAUUAUUUAGCCAAUAAAAGCCUGGAGAAGAUACACAUGUCUACCUCUGAGGAAUUCCUUACAUGUUAAGACUGACAGCCUGUCAUCCAAGAUUGGGUUUAAAAAAGUAGACUUAGAAACAGAUGAUGCCAUAUUAAAAAAAAUUAUAGAAUUUAAUCUUUGUUGUACUGUUUUCUGUGGGGAAUUUCACUCUGUAGGAGUGAAGGAACUCAGAUGUCAUACCAGCCUUCUAACUUUGGAAACAAGUAUACACAUUCAUUUUAAGCAUUUUUGGGACAGAAAGAUUUUUGGGGGAGGAGGUCUUUUUGAAAGCUCUAAACGUUAAAAGAAAGUAAUAUAUUUUUAAAAGGAAUAGAAGCUUUGUGACAACAACAACAAAAAAAAAGGUUCUAACGUAUAGUAGAUUCUCAGCAAGAUAUAACUAAUGUGCAUAAUGUAGUUAUACUCCCCUCCCCCUAUAACCCUUUAAAAUCAUAAAUAGAUUAAGAGCCCCUCUGAAUUUUUUUAAAAACCAAUCUGACAACUAGUGCUACUGGAGACUGUGUCUAUCUACUGAGUACAAUCUCAAGAUAAAAUGUUCUUGUGGUAAAAGCCAGAGGUGAGACAAUGAUGAUCUAUCUUCUAUGGAAUACAUCCACCAAAAUGAACCUGUGACACGCUUGCAAUGAAAUACAAUAGCGUGGUCAUAUUCACAGAAGUCAGUCUGGUGAGAUUAAACAUAUCAGUGGCCAUGGUAAAUAAAGCUUCAUGUAUUAAUGUCUUAAUCAUUUUAUAUAACUAUAUUCACCUACUGAGGAAUACAAAAAUAGCUUGUAAAAUUAGGUCAAAUUUUGGAGCCUGAAUAAAUUUUAUCUUCUUCUGAGGAGCCAGUACAAAACAGAGGAAAAAGAGAACAGAUGCCUGGUGAUAUCCAGAAUCAGGGGGUUGUAACUGGUAGCUUACUUUAGAAUGAAAAGUGUGGAAAUUUCUGACAUAUUUUAUGUUUUUUCCAACCAACAAAAUGAGAUAAAUGAUUACCGAAAGGGUAAGUGAUAUCAAAACAUGACAGGAUUACUAAAAUGCCAAGUUAUAGAUAGAAACAUUAAGGAACCUACCUAAGCUGCCAUACAAUAAUAUUAGUUUUAUUUUUCUUUUAAAAACAUCAACAGCACAUAUUUUAGAGAAAAUGUCAGGAAAGAAGGUUUGGAAUCAUUGUUCAAGGGCACAUUAGUUUAUUUCUAUGUGAAUUAAAAAUGGCUUGAUUUUCUACACAUAUAUACAUAGCCAUGGAUAUAAUAUCAAGCAGUAUCCUAUCUGGAAAGCUCUGACUUUAAUCACACAAUUACAAAAUGGAAAGUACAUUUUGUCCAAGCUGACACCACCAUUAAAUCAGGAGGCCUGUUGGCAGACUUGUUGACAUUGCAAGAAUUCCCGGAAAGCAUUAACUCCAGCAUUAAUAAAAUCGCAGUAAAUAGAUGGCGCCUCUUGGGUGAUUUAGGAAAUAAGGUUACUGGCCU